rnacentral:piRNA from 1 species
UGGCUUACAGUUUAUAGUGUGUGG